GUUGGAGUAGAGUAGUAGUUAACUUGUCACCUUCCCAAGGCGGAAACCUGGGUUCAGAUCCCGGCUCCUGCA
rnacentral:tRNA from 1 species